rnacentral:rRNA from 1 species
CCUACGGGUGGCAGCAGUGAGGAAUAUUGGUCAAUGGACGCGAGUCUGAACCAGCCAAGUAGCGUGAAGGAUGACUGCCCUAUGGGUUGUAAACUUCUUUUAUACGGGAAUAAAACGAGGCACGUGUGCCUUUUUGCAUGUACUUUAUGAAUAAGGAUCGGCUAACUCCGUGCCAGCAGCCGCGGUAAUACGGAGGAUCCGAGCGUUAUCCGGAUUUAUUGGGUUUAAAGGGAGCGUAGAUGGGUUGUUAAGUCAGUUGUGAAAGUUUGGGGCUCAACCGUAAAAUUGCAAUUGAUACUGGCAGACUAGAGUACAGUUGAGGUAGGCGGAAUGCGUGGUGUAGCGGUGAAAUGCUUAGAGAUCACGAAGAACCCCGAUUGCGAAGGCAGCUUACUAAACUAUGACUGACAUUGAUGCACGAAAGUGUGGGUAGCAAACGGGAUUAGAUACCCUUGUAGUC